UACGAAGGGGGCGAGCGUUGUUCGGAUUUACUGGGCGUAAAGGGCUCGUAGGCGGCCAACUAAGUCCGACGUGAAAUCCCCAAGCUUAACUUGGGAACUGCGUCGGAUACUGGAUGGCUUGAAUUCGGGAGAGGGAUGCAGAAUUCCAGGUGUAGCGGUGAAAUGCGUAGAUAUCUGGAGGAAUACCGGUGGCGAAGGCGGCAUCCUGGACCGACAUUGACGCUGAGGAGCGAAAGCUAGGGGAGCAAACGGG
rnacentral:rRNA from 1 species